rnacentral:misc_RNA from 1 species
GUAGGUGAACCUGCGGAAGGAUCAUUAACACGUAUCCAACGUUAAACAACUCUGUGAACCUUCACCCCUGCUCUCCUUGUAUUUCGGUACUUGGAUUUGAUGCGGUCGAAGCAAUUAGACUUGCCUCUGUGGGGUAGUCAGUGGGUGAAAGUGCCACUGGUUACUUAAGCGGAGUACUGCACCCGGACUAACCGGGGUGGGAUCAUCGAGUGUCCUCACGGCCGAUGAACAAGUCUCUGAGCGCAAGCUC